CCUACGGGAGGCAGCAGUGAGGAAUAUUGGUCAAUGGGAGAGAUCCUGAACCAGCCAAGCCGCGUGAGGGAAGACGGCCCUAUGGGUUGUAAACCUCUUUUGUCGGAGAACAAAACCCGGGACGUGUCCCGGACUGCGUGUAUCCGAAGGAAAAGCAUCGGCUAACUCCGUGCCAGCAGCCGCGGUAAUACGGAGGAUGCGAGCGUUAUCCGGAUUUAUUGGGUUUAAAGGGUGCGUAGGCGGUCCGUUAAGUCAGCGGGAAAAUUGCGGGGCUCAACCCCGUCGAGCCGUUGAAACUGGCAGACUUGAGUUGGCGAGAAGUACGCGGAAUGCGCGGUGUAGCGGUGAAAUGCAUAGAUAUCGCGCAGAACUCCGAUUGCGAAGGCAGCGUACCGGCGCCAGACUGACGCUGAGGCACGAAAGCGUGGGGAUCGAACAGGAUUAGAUACCCUAGUAGUC
rnacentral:rRNA from 1 species